AAUUAUCCUCAUAAGUUUGACAAUAAGAGGUACCGCUUAAUUCAGCGGUGGCACAGAAUCGGAGGCCCCGACUGUUUACUAAAAACACAUCACAGUGCAAUCAUUAAUAUGAUAGUAUACUGUGUGAAAUUUGCCCGAUGCCAUUAAUAUAAGAACGGUCAUUUUAAGUGACUUAUCGAAAAUCUGGUUAAUAGCGGUCUUAACUAUGAGGAUCCUAAGGUAGCAAAAUCAGUUGGCCUUUAAAUGAGGUCCGGUAUCAAUAAUGUAACGAUGGUCUCACUGUCUCUACAACUUGCUCAGUGAAAUUGAAUUACGCGUGCAGAUGCGCGUUACCUCCAGGGGGACGGGAAGACCCUAU
rnacentral:rRNA from 1 species